AACGUGUUCAACAUUUACACGGCUUCACAGUGCACUAGAGUGUGUGAAUGAAGAUGGGCUGCCAGAUCCAGAUCAGAUCUUUCAAGAGCAGCGUAGGUACACGCAUGCAGUCGUCACAUCUGACAACCACCACCACGGCGGGACAGCAACUGAGGAGGUCCAAAGUGGAAUGCCAGUACUGCAAAGCUCGGGUACUCUUAGUUCUG